rnacentral:rRNA from 1 species
GUACACUCCUACGGGAGGCAGCAGUGGGGAAUUUUGGACAAUGGGCGAAAGCCUGAUCCAGCAAUGCCGCGUGAGUGAAGAAGGCCUUCGGGUUGUAAAGCUCUUUUGUCAGGGAAGAAACGGUGAGAGCUAAUAUCUCUUGCUAAUGACGGUACCUGAAGAAUAAGCACCGGCUAACUACGUGCCAGCAGCCGCGGUAAUACGUAGGGUGCAAGCGUUAAUCGGAAUUACUGGGCGUAAAGCGUGCGCAGGCGGUUUUGUAAGUCUGAUGUGAAAUCCCCGGGCUCAACCUGGGAAUUGCAUUGGGGACUGCAAGGCUAGAAUCUGGCAGAGGGGGGUAGAAUUCCACGUGUAGCAGUGAAAUGCGUAGAUAUGUGGAGGAACACCGAUGGCGAAGGCAGCCCCCUGGGUCAAGAUUGACGCUCAUGCACGAAAGCGUGGGGAGCAAACAGGAUUAGAUACCCGAGUAGUCCCA